CAUUCAACAUUUAUUGUGACGCCCUGUGCGAGGGACAGAGUUGAGUAAGGCAGGGUCCCUGCCCUCAAGGAACUCAGUCUGGGGCCCAUCCCUAUGGCCACAGAGUCCGUGCCAUGUGAGAUGCUGCAGUGGGAGAGCAAACACAGGGCUAGAGGCAGAGGAACAGCUGUCUUAGCUCAGGGAGGGGUGUGGACCCUCACACGCCACGGCUCAUAGUGCAGUGGAGCUCCCCAGACAGCCAAGGAGGCCCGGUGCAGCCAAGGAGGCGUCAAGAUCUGGACAAGCAGGACGUGUUCAGGAAAUGGCAAAAAAGUGGCUCAAUCCUGGGGACAAAGGGAGGGAGGCGGGGGCAAGAUGGUGAAAGAAACUUCAUGGAACAUGGGGCUUUGGCGAGGGACGCCUUGGAGGCCCCUUAGAAGUGAUCUCGUCAAAGAUGUGUUUUAGAGGGAAAACACUGGCAGGAAUGGAAGAGACGAAAAGUUUAGGCAGGAGAUGAUGGGCUGAAGCAGGGAAGUAAGAUGGAGAACAGAGGAUGAAUUCCAGAUGAAGAAGCAGGUCACCACAGGUUGGCCGGGGUCGGGGCAGGCGGUCAGGACCAACUCAGCAAGAGGAGAGGAGCUGGACUCUACGCCGAACGCCACGCUGGGUGUUUCCCACUCUCCAUCUCCACAGGAAUCGUCGCCAUUGUACAGACGAUGCUUGGAGAAGUGGAGGGACUUUUCUGGUGGCACAACUAGAUUACACAGUUAAGCUUCAAACCCAGCUCAACACUUUUAACCAUCACGCUAUAUGGGAAAUCUAGACAGAUGAAUAGCCAGCUGUUUCGGAGAAUGAUCUGGAGCUUGGGGGGAAAUUUACCACGAGAGAUAGACAUCUGGAAGCCCUCAAGGUAAAUAUAGCCGGUGGUUGAGGCCGCAGGUGCAGCUAAAACCGUCCAGCAAGAAAAAAGCCAAGGAUGGAGCGGGAAGAAGACUCAGAGUUAGGAGAACGGGAGGGGCGGGGGCAGAGCAGAGAGCCAGAAAGGGAAAUGGAGGCGGCAGUGAUGUCGACGGAAUUCCAUGAAGAGCACCAGACACUGCAAAGCACAGGUGUGACUGGGACCAAAGGAGGAAGGCUUUUAGCCAGACUGGCCUCCCCACUGUAGUGGUGGAGGUGCCGAGCAAGCAGCCAGGGCUAAGAGCAGUGCGGGGAUGGGGCUGAGGGCUUGAGGAACUUGGUUUUUAAAAACGUCACCUUGAACGUUGCAUCCAGAACCAUAAACGGAGAGCUCCAGGCAGCACGGUUAUGCAAUAUGCUCCAGCUGCACUUGGCAGCUCAGGCCCACAGGCAAACAGAAUGGACAGUGUGGAGCAGGGCAGAAGGGCAUGGAGGACUCCGGACUCUUCUAGAGAGAAGAACCGCCCUUUCUGAGACACCAGUAAAGACGUUUAAAAAAAAAAAAAAACUCAAAAAUAUUUGGAGGACCCAUUUGGAAUUUUUAAACAAAAAACAAGCCAUGGUUUAUCUCUGCAUGAUAUAAAAAGAUGUGGUAAACAGAUAACUAAUGUUAACAAACUUAGCUCAAAAAGAAUAAACUAUUUUUAAGCACCUCAAGGUACUGCUGGAACAGGAUGCAAAAUGAUACACUGUGAUUAUCCUCUUUACUUGUAAAGCUGAUUCCCCAAACAUUUUUACCUUAGCAAAUAGUUUGAGAGACUGUUCAGAAAAAGAAUAAAGGAGCAUUUAUGUCUAUGCCGUUAUUCAGACUGGCUGCCAUUCUGAUUCGGUAAAAGCAAGAUUUUACAGGACAGAACAGCACCUGCAUGUUUUUGGAGCACUGGCUAAGCUGGCCUCUCAUUCUUUUUACACUACACCUCAGAGCACAUCCGUAUCCCCAUUUUGCAAGUGGGGACACCAAAGCCAGAGAGGUGAAGGGGCCUGUUCCAGGCCACCGUGUUCACUGGUCUCCAACUCCAAAGCUCUCUCCUCCACCCAUUCUGAAGUGGGGCACUCUAGGGCCAUUCCCCACGCCCUGCUCCCCACUUCUCAUCUCCAACUUUGGGAUAGCACUGGCAAGGGGACAACCUAGUAACACAGGUCUAAGCCUGCACUCCCGCCGCCGCCAGCUGGUCCUUCCUGUAAAAUACUCCUAAGAAGCCCUCAAUCACUAGGCCUGUGACGGCACCUAUGAGCACUCUCCCAGCCAAGGCUCCCUCCUCCAGAUCCCUACCUCCCCAGGAUCACAGGGUUACAUGCAACUUUUUCCUACAAUAAAACUAAAGCAGCCAACACACUUAUUGGGCACCUACUUGCUGCCAUGGACUCUGCUGAGAACUUUACAUGUUACCUUAGCUUUGCAACAACCCAGCAAAAAACAGGUAUUCUUGAGUUCCCACUGUGGCUCAGCAGGUUAAGAAUCCGACUAGCAUCCAUGAGGAUGUGGGUUCGAGCCCUAACCUCACUCAGUAGAUUAAGGAUCCAGCACUGCCUUGAGCUGCAGCACAGGUCGCAGGCAUUGCUGGGAUCUAGCAUUGCUGUGGCUGUGGUCCAGGCCAGCAGCUGCAGCUUCGAUUCGACCCCUAGCCUGGGAACCUCCACAUACUGCAGGUGUGGCCCUAAAAAGACCAAAAAAAAAAAACAAACAAACAAAAAAAGAAGGUAUUCUUAUCCCAGUUUUACGAAUGAGGAUAACUGAGGCUCGGAAAGGCUAUGUGACCUGCCCAAAGUCACUCAGCUACCUGUGGAAGCAGUACUCACAAGUCUGCCAGCCUCUAGCACCCACUUUAUUUUUACUCUACCACACAGCCCCGGCUCCCCACUCGACAAGUGCCUAGAGACCUGAGGGGAAAAAGAAAAGUAAGGCAAAAGGCAUAAGCCUUUUCGUUUCCACUGCCUGGCCCUCAAGUGACUCUGGGGAGGCUAAUCCCAUGGAGUUUUUUGCUCUGCUGGCGGCCUCACCAGCCCAGGGCCCUGGGAAGCUGACAGCAGUCAAAGGGCCCCCUAGAAGGCUUGUCCUGGCAGCUGCCCAGCUGACUUGUGCUAACACAGCAACAGGCACAGGAAAGGCUCAGGAGAGAGUGGAAAAGCACCAGACACGGGGCGGCUGAGGGCAGAGAAGUGAUUCCUGCCGUGCUCAGAUAGGAUAACAGGCUCUGACCGCCAGCAUCAGGCCGAGAAGAGAUGGGGUGGGGGUGGGUGCCAAGCAAAAAGCCCCAAGCACAUCUCAGUGUUAAUGUGACUGUUGGGCUGAUCCCAAAGAGGGUCACAUGCCUCCAAGGUGAAUCAGCAGCUAUGGAAGCAAACUGGUCCGUGCCCGGGUUUGUUUCAGCAAGCCUGGCCUGCCUUUGCCACAGCUUCAGAAGCCCUGCUACCUGAGGUCUCCGGAGCAGAGACAAGAAAGCGUGCACUAUCUCACAGCCCCACAGCAGAAGCAGGGCUCAGCCAGCCCUUGGGAAAGAAAAGCCACUGAGAAUAUUAAUAGACUUGCCGGAGGCAGACAUUCAGUGAGGGCAAGCCCUAGGAAAUAAAAUUAUUUAAAGGGGACACAAAGUGAGACUGGAAAAAUGGGGCAACUUGGAUUUCCAAAGAUAGGGCAUCCUCUGCCAGGCACUGGGAGGAGUACAGCAGCAGUGACAGGCUUAUUCUAAAAUAGCUGAAAAUCCAAAAAUGUCUUAGUCUGUGGGAAAACUUUUUUGGGUUAUUUCUGUAGGUUUUCUGCCCUCUAAUGUUUUGCUUAGGCUGAUAUUAGACUACAUAUGCACAGGAUGCUCAGGUGUUUCAAAAGAAACCAGUCCUGGGAUCUAAUCUUUGCCACAGGAACUCCAAUUUUUUUUUUAAAUAAACUGUCAACUUUUAAAAAUCGGAAGUUUCCACACCAAAAUAAAUAAAUAAAAUCCACAAAAAUCUGAAUGUCUAGUAUCUUCAAGAGGGAAAAAAAGAAAAACUGGUGUUUCUAGGCAAGGAGCACAAACUGGAAGAAGCUGCAUAGCCACUGCCCCCUUUAGGCAGGCCUGUGCUUCCUAGCUCCUGGCCUGGCCUGCUCUUUUAAGCCACCUUACUGAACCCCUCCAGGCAUGGGAGUUUGCUACUAGCAGUUUGGCCCUGCGAAGGGAUCCCAGGCUUGACCAUACUCAGGACUGCCACAGGGGGGCAGCACUGGGCUGCCGAUAAGGCCUGCGUCAGCCUGAGCUCAAAAACCAAGUGACCAAGCUGAGCUCAAUAUAUCCUUUCAAAAUCAGAAACCUCAUCACUACUUCGGUAGCAGACACUGCUGCUCCACACUCCCCAUCAGAUUUAUUCCCUGAGAGGCAACAGCAACUCAUCUCUACAUUCCCACUAGGCCUCCGCAACUGAGGGGAAGCUACCAACUCAACUUGACCCUGCAUCUCUGGCUACCUCCUUCCCUGUCCCCUAGCUCCUCCCACUGCACAGCCAGCAUCUCUACCUGUUCAGGAAUCCCAUCUUCACCCACCCCAGAUCCUGAGGUCAGAAGCAGGGUACACACCCUCCCCCAUUUUAAAGCAGUUUGUUCUUCAUCAAAUGUUCAUUGCCUGCCUUUGCUCAUUCAGGUUAAAGGUCAGCUGCCUUCAUCAGGCAAUAGGUCCACUCUCUGCUCUCACCCCUUCCAAACUCCCCAACAACUCUUAAGUGGCAGCAUUUAGUAUAAGCUCUUAUAGCCCCUUGGAAAGACAUUUAGUGUUAGGCACCGAGACCCUUAAAACUGUUCAUCUCAUUUCAUCCAAAAUGCCAUUUACUGUUCCUACCAUUUAGUCCAAACUGCAGGAGAAUCCUUAUAUAAGAUACUCUUUGUGGUAUUUCUUCUAGUGAACCAGAAACAAUCCAAAUGUCUAACAACAGGGAAACUUAAAAAACAAGCCAUGCCGAGUCCCCUGGUGGCUCAGUGGGUUAAGGAUCUGGCAUUGUCACUGCUGUGGCGUGGAUUCAGUCCCUAGCCCGGGAACUUCCACAUGUUGUGAGCACAGCCAAAAACAAAAAAACAAAAAACCUAUGCUAUGUUCCCACUCAAUGGGCAAUUAUACAGCUGUUGAAACAAUGAGGACUAUGAAGACCAUGUGAUAAAAUGAGAAAAUGAUUACGAUGUGAAACACCAUGUGAAAAAAGAAUAUAAAAUUAAAUGUACAGUAAUGAUAACCAUCAGAAAGAAAGCAAAAAACUAGGUCAAGAAUUAGUGAAAGAUACCAAAAUGUGAGCUUUUUAGCUGUAAAUGGGCCCUCAGAGUGUGGAUAACUAUCUGUUUGGGUUUUUUGUUUUUGUUUUCCCCAUUUUUGGCUGCACCCACAGCAUAUAAAGUUCCUGGGCCACAGGAUCAAAUCCGAGCCACAUCUACAACCUAGGCUACAGCUGCAACACCAGAUCCUUAAACCACUGCAUCAGGCAUUGACCUAGCAACACCAUGAGAUGAGCCGGAUUAUUAACGCACUAUGCAAUGGAGGGAUCUCUUGGGUAACCAUUUUUUUUAAAUCCCUACCAAAUGUUCUUUAAUGUACAAAUACUACUUUCACCGGGAAAACUAUAUGUGUGUAUACGUACGUGCAUGAAAUUGGUAAACUGACAACAAUUGUUCAGCUUCCUGGGCUCCUCUAAUUUAGACUUUGAAAGGUCCUAUAAGCCUCUUGUUAUCAUGAUAAAAAGGCUCUUGGGAACGGGUGCCUCUGGGA
rnacentral:lncRNA from 1 species